UAGCUCAGUUGGGAGAGCACCUCCCUUACAAGGAGGGGGUCACUGGUUCGAGACCGGU
rnacentral:tRNA from 1 species